rnacentral:rRNA from 1 species
UACGUAGGGGGCAAGCGUUGUCCGGAAUCAUUGGGCGUAAAGAGCGUGUAGGCGGCUCGGUAAGUCCGCUCUGAAAGCCCGGGGCUCAACCCCGGGAGGCGGGCGGAUACUGUCGGGCUAGAGUCCGGAAGAGGCGAGUGGAAUUCCUGGUGUAGCGGUGAAAUGCGCAGAUAUCAGGAGGAACACCCGUAGCGAAGGCGGCACUCUGGGCCGAUACUGACACUGAGGAGCGAAAGCGUGGGGAGCGAACAGG